rnacentral:rRNA from 1 species
UACGAAGGGGGCUAGCGUUGCUCGGAAUCACUGGGCGUAAAGGGCGCGUAGGCGGACAUUUAAGUCAGGGGUGAAAUCCCAAGGCUCAACCUUGGAAUUGCCUUUGAUACUGGGUGUCUUGAGACCGGAAGAGGUUAGUGGAACUGCGAGUGUAGAGGUGAAAUUCGUAGAUAUUCGCAAGAACACCAGUGGCGAAGGCGGCUAACUGGUCCGGUUCUGACGCUGAGGCGCGAAAGCGUGGGCAGCAAACAGG